rnacentral:rRNA from 1 species
CCUACGGGAGGCAGCAGUGGGGAAUUUUGCGCAAUGCUCGUAAGAGUGACGCAGCGACGCCGCGUGAAUGACGAAGGCCUUCGGGUCGUAAAGUUCUUUCGACAGGGAAGAAAAUGCCUAUAAGUAACUGUGUAUGUAUUGACGGUACCUGUAUAAGCAGCCCCGGCUAACUCCGUGCCAGCAGCCGCGGUAAUACGGAGGGGGCGGGCGUUGUUCGGAGUGACUGGGCGUAAAGAGCACGUAGGCGGUGUUGUAAGUCAUUAGUCAAAGACUAGAGCUCAACUUUAGUAAGGCUAGUGAUACUAUAAUACGAGAGUAUCAGAGAGGAUUGCAGAAUGCCUGGUGUAGCGGUGAAAUGCGUGGAUAGCAGGAGGAAUACCGUUAGCGAAGGCGGCAAUCUGGCUGGAAACUGACGCUGAGGUGCGAAAGCGUGGGUAGCAAACAGGAUUAGAUACCCGAGUAGUC